UGCAAACUGUGAAGGAAGUUUCUACAGAGUUCAUUCGAUACAGAAGAUUAACAGACUUACAAAGAAAUAAAAGAUUGACAUUAACAUACAUAUCAAUUCCUAAAUAUUAACGAAGAAGAAAAGAGACAAUGAAAAGUUAUUUAACAGUUAUGAGUGUAUUAAUACCAAAAGAGAGUACUUAUAACAAUAUAACACAUGGAGUAAAAUUAUGAUAGGAUAGUAUUAUGAAAAGAACUAUUAUAUUGUGACCUAUACAUAGGAUGAGAAGUAUCAGAGGUAGAUAAAAUAUCAAGUUGAUAAAAUAAGGAUCAUGGUUACUUAAUACUACAAAGAUUGAGUUCAAUAGUAUUUCAUAGAUUCACUAGAAUAAAUAUUUUGUUUAUAAUCGAGGUGAAGUAAAACAAACAAUGGUAACAUAAGGAAGAAAACUAAGGAAGGAUAAUUUAUAUUGAUUAAUAUUAAGUAAUUAUAUACAUUAAGAAUGCCUUGGAUAUAAGAGUUCAGAGAUCCAAGAAGAAUUGAAUUGAAG